rnacentral:rRNA from 1 species
GAUGAACGCUGGCGGCGUGCCUAAUACAUGCAAGUCGAGCGAACGGACGAGAAGCUUGCUUCUCUGAUGUUAGCGGCGGACGGGUGAGUAACACGUGGAUAACCUACCUAUAAGACUGGGAUAACUUCGGGAAACCGUAGCUAAUACCGGAUAAUAUUUUGAACCGCAUGGUUCAAAAGUGAAAGACGGUCUUGCUGUCACUUAUAGAUGGAUCCGCGCUGCAUUAGCUAGUUGGUAAGGUAACGGCUUACCAAGGCAACGAUGCAUAGCCGACCUGAGAGGGUGAUCGCCCACACUGGAACGUAGACAGGGACCAGACUACUACGGGAGGCAGCAGUAGGGAAUCUUCCGCAAUGGGCGAAAGCCUGACGGAGCAACGCGGCGUGAGUGAUGAAGGUCUUCGGAUCGUAAAACUCUGUUAUUAGGGAAGAACAUAUUUGUAAGUAACUGUGCACAUCUUGACGGUACCUAAUCAGAAAGCCACGGCUAACUACGUG